AGUGAACGCUGGCGGUAGGCCUAACACAUGCAAGUCGAACGGCAGCACAGUAAGAGCUUGCUCUUACGGGUGGCGAGUGGCGGACGGGUGAGGAAUGCAUCGGAAUCUACUUUUUCGUGGGGGAUAACGUAGGGAAACUUACGCUAAUACCGCAUACGACCUACGGGUGAAAGCAGGGGAUCUUCGGACCUUGCGCGAUUGAAUGAGCCGAUGUCGGAUUAGCUAGUUGGCGGGGUAAAGGCCCACCAAGGCGACGAUCCGUAGCUGGUCUGAGAGGAUGAUCAGCCACACUGGAACUGAGACACGGUCCAGACUCCUACGGGAGGCAGCAGUGGGGAAUAUUGGACAAUGGGCGCAGCCUGAUCCAGCCAUACCGCGUGGGUGAAGAAGGCCUUCGGGUUGUAAAGCCCUUUUGUUGGGAAAGAAAAGCAGCAGGUUAAUACCCCGCUGUUCUGACGGUACCCAAAGAAUAAGCACCGGCUAACUUCGU
rnacentral:rRNA from 1 species